GACGUGUCCUCUGUUGUUACACGGGUUUUCGACAAUUUUCACUAAUUAUAUCAUUGUGGUACAGUUGUAAAUGUGUCGUUUGGUUAUUUAUGUUUCUCAAAAGUGAUUUGUGUGAUUUUAACGCAGGAUUUUAUAGAAAUUUCAACAAAACUUAGGAGGGAAAUCCAAUAAGGCAUUAACUGUUCUGGUAUUUAUAUUGGCAGUUUCUAGCUAUUUUAAUUGAAAUUAUUGCUUAAUUGGUACAGGAGGGAAAUCCAAUAAGGUAUUAACUAUUCUGGUAUUGAUAUUGGCAGUUUUAUGCCAUUCUAAUUGAAAUUGUUGUUUAAUUGAUACAGAACAUCGAAAGGCUUCAAACAAGGGAGGACAUUUAUCCCGGAGAUUUAUUUGUUUCGCCUUUGUGGUCAACAAAUGGAUGCAAAUCCGUAUAAAUGUCCCCGUAAUCACAAUACACCCGAGCCUCCCUUUUUUAUGUGUUUAUACAGUCUAAUUGAAAGUACCCACACAUAAAAAUCAAUUUGGGGCAAGUCGGGUGUUGUCUUUUGUCGCACGGCGAUGGGGGUGC